GACGAACGCUGGCGGCGUGCUUAACACAUGCAAGUCGAACGGAAAGGCCCUGCUUUUGUGGGGUGCUCGAGUGGCGAACGGGUGAGUAACACGUGAGUAACCUGCCCUUGACUUUGGGAUAACUUCAGGAAACUGGGGCUAAUACCGGAUAGGAGCUCCUGCUGCAUGGUGGGGGUUGGAAAGUUUCGGCGGUUGGGGAUGGACUCGCGGCUUAUCAGCUUGUUGGUGGGGUAGUGGCUUACCAAGGCUUUGACGGGUAGCCGGCCUGAGCGGGUGACCGGCCACAUUGGGAAUGAGAUACGGCCCAUACUCCUACGAGAGGGAGCAUGGGGGAAUAUUGCACAAUGGGAGGAAGCCUGAUCCAGCAACGCCGCGUGCGGGAUGACGGCCUUCAGGUUGUAAACCGCUUUCGCCUGGGACGAAGCGUGAGUGACGGUAAUAGGUAAAGAAGCACCGGCUAACUACGUG
rnacentral:rRNA from 1 species